AUUGAACGCUGGCGGAAUGCUUUACACAUGCAAGUCGAGCGGCAGCGCGGGGCAACCUGGCGGCGAGCGGCGAACGGGUGAGUAAUGCAUCGGAACGUACCCAGUCGUGGGGGAUAACGUGGCGAAAGUCACGCUAAUACCGCAUACGUCCUGAGGGAGAAAGCAGGGGAUCGCAAGACCUUGCGCGAUUGGAGCGGCCGAUGUCUGAUUAGCUAGUUGGUGGGGUAAAGGCCUACCAAGGCGACGAUCAGUAGCUGGUCUGAGAGGACGAUCAGCCACACUGGGACUGAGACACGGCCCAGACUCCUACGGGAGGCAGCAGUGGGGAAUUUUGGACAAUGGGCGAAAGCCUGAUCCAGCCAUUCCGCGUGAGUGAAGAAGGCCU
rnacentral:rRNA from 1 species